CAGGCGUCCGAGUUGUAAUCUAUAGAGGCGUUUUCCGCGCCGGACCGCGUCCAAGUCUCUUGGAAUAGAGUAUCAAAGAGGGUGACAAUCCCGUACUUGACGCGACAACCGGUGCUCUGUGAUACGUUCUCAACGAGUCGAGUUGUUUGGGAAUGCAGCUCUAAAUGGGUGGUAAAUUCCAUCUAAGGCUAAAUAUUGGCGAGAGACCGAUAGCGAACAAGUACCGUGAGGGAAAGAUGAAAAGCACUUUGGAAAGAGAGUUAAACAGCACGUGAAAUUGUUAAAAGGGAAACGAUUGAAGUCAGUCGUGUGAAAGGUAUUCAGCCGUCUCUGGCGGUGUAUUUGCCUUUCACGGGUCAACAUCAGUUUAGUCCGGUAGAAAAAGGCUGGAGGAAGGUGGCACCCUCGGGUGUGUUAUAGCCUCCUGUCACAUGUGCCGGAUUAGACUGAGGAACGCAGCUUGCCGCAAGGCCGGGGUUCGCCCACGUACAAGCUUAGGAUGUUGACAUAAUGGCUUUAAACGACCCGUCU
rnacentral:rRNA from 1 species